rnacentral:rRNA from 1 species
UACGUAGGUGGCAAGCGUUGUCCGGAUUUACUGGGCGUAAAGGAUGCGUAGGCGGAUAUGCAAGUCAGAUGUGAAAACCCCGAGCUUAACUCGGGAACUGCAUUUGAAACUACAUAUCUAGAGUGCAGGAGAGGUAAGUGGAAUUCCUAGUGUAGCGGUGAAAUGCGUAGAGAUUAGGAAGAACACCAGUGGCGAAGGCGACUUACUGGACUGUAACUGACGCUGAGGCAUGAAAGCGUGGGGAGCAAACAGG